rnacentral:tRNA from 1 species
CCUGGUGGCUCAGACGGUAAAGCAUCUGCCUAUAAUGCAGGAGACCUGGGUUUGAUCCCUGGGUCAGGA